CCUACGGGAGGCAGCAGUGGGGAAUAUUGCGCAAUGGACGCAAGCCUGAUGCAGCCAUGCCGCGUGUAUGAAGAAGGCCUUCGGGUUGUAAACUGCUUUCAGCAGGGAGGAAAAAAGUCAGUAUCAGACGUUUACGCAUUGGCGAACUACGUGCCAGCAGCCGCGGUAAUACGGAGGGAGCAAGCGUUAUCCGGACUUAUUGGGUGUAAGGGGUGCGUAGGCGGAGAAGGAAGUUCGUUGUGAAAUCCCUGGGCUUAACUGAGGAACUGCAACUGAAACUACUUACCUUGCGUACUGGAGAGGAAAGUAGAAUUCCUGGUGUAGCGGUGAAAUGCGUAGAUAUUAGGAGGAACACCAGUGGCGAAGGCGACUUUCUGGACAAAAACUGACGCUGAGGCACGAAAGUGUGGGGAGCAAACAGGAUUAGAUACCCGAGUAGUC
rnacentral:rRNA from 1 species